rnacentral:tRNA from 3 species
GCCCACAUAGCUCAGUCGGUAGAGCGCAUCCUUGGUAAGGAUGAGGUCACCAGUUCAAAUCUGGUUGUGGGCUCCA